UAAUACGGAGGGGGCAAGCGUUGUUCGGAAUUAUUGGGCGUAAAGCGCGUGUAGGCGGUGAGGUAAGUCAAACGUGAAAGUCAACGGCUCAACCGGGGAAUUGCGUUUGAUACUGUCUUACUGGAGUACGGGAGAGGAGAGUGGAAUUCCUAGUGUAGCAGUGAAAUGCGUAGAUAUUAGGAAGAACACCGGUGGCGAAGGCGGCUCUCUGGCCCGUUACUGACGCUGAGACGCGAAAGCUAGGGGAGCGAACGGGAUUAGAUACCCCGGUAGUCCUAGCCGUAAACGAUGGGCACUAGGUGAAGGAGGUAUCGAUCCCUUCUGUGCCGUAGCUAACGCAUUAAGUGCCCCGCCUGGGGAGUACGGUCGCAAGGCUG
rnacentral:rRNA from 1 species